AAUAUCAUCAGCAGCGUGUGCGAAUAUUUAAGGAGUGCACUUGCUUCGCACACUCAUUCGCCCACUAGAAGGAAAAGGAAAAAAGACGCAUUUAAGACGACUUCAUUUAGAAUUUGAACAAGGCUCAGUUUAGAAUGCAUCGAGAACUCCUCCUGGUCGGGGCCUUGAUGGCUUUUCUUGCUGCCGUGCGGGGAACAGAACAUUUGACUUUCGACAACUCCACCAGGGCAAACGUCACCCGAGAGGGCUGCAGUAGCACCAACCUGUGUCUGGAGAUGCCAAACAACUGCGAUCCUGCGGGCAACAACACCAGCUGUCUGUUUGUGUCCUUGAACGC